AUUGGCAUUGUAUCGAAUCAAAAUUACCAUCAUUUGCUUCAGAUAGAAGUCUCAUAAAUAGAUUGUCUUUAUCAUGCUUUUCCUUAACAAUAAACUCCAAGUAAACAAUUGAUAUUAUUGACACAGUUCUUGAUUUGCAUAAUUGAUGAUUGACUUAUUUGUACAGUGUGUUCAGAUCAGGAGGAGGCUAGGCUGACGACGAAGCUUCUGCGUUCCGUAACACACGAGUUCUGCUAUUUCCACAAACCCAUGACACGCUUUCACUGCAGUCACACAAACGGUCACGUUGUGUAAUAUCAUUUGUGUGGUAUGCUUGCUGACAAAUUGCUAAAUGCCUCUUUCCUUACAGCUUGGCCUCUCAGGAAUCCAGCCGUCUCUGGGACCUUGUUGUUAUGCUUGUGAAUAGGGGGCUGGAACUGGUGGGGUAGUGGCGAAGCCGGACAAUCUGUGAGCCACCGUGUAGGACACUUUGGAACCGAAGGGAAAUCUGUCCAGACGGGAGAGAAGAAUCGCUGCUCACUUUCUUGGGAAACUUUUCAGCACUGAAGGAUCGGGACACCACAAGAGGAAAUUACCACAUUUGUCAGUGACAAAUCAGGAACACUAGACAUCCAGUCUUAAAACAGUUCUUUCGAUUUAUCUGGAGACUACUAGGAUGGCCAGUUGUGGGUCGUGUUUCUGGAGCAUUAUGUGGCUGGUGAUCCUGCUGAUAAUCGGCUGGCCCAUCAGCAUCACCCUGGGCGGUCUCUACGGCCUGUUCAGCCCCCUCACCACCUGCGUGGGCCUGGACCGGCUGUCCGACUUGCUCCUGGAGGGGGCCAACGUGGGCCGGAGAUGUGCCCAGAACAUGAGACACGGCAAGCCCCUGUGUUGAGGACAACCAGUCUCCCUCGGUCCUGGAGCCCACAAAAAUGAUUUGUCCGUUUUUUUGUGAACAUGUUCAGUAAUGGAUUUUGUAGAUUUUCUAAUCUUUCUUUUCUGUUCUUUUUUUUUUUUUUUUACAAAAUGUCCAGAAGGUCUCCAUGAAGUGGAGUACUAUUGUCUAUCAUGAACCAUGGAUAUCGAAUUUGUUUUGGGGUUGUCUGGAAUCAAAUAGACUGUGUUUUGCUAUUCAAGUCAGGAUGACACUGCCUCAGAAAGAUAAGAAAUGGAAAUGGCGGUUUAACAAUCAAAAUGCUUAGAGUCGUAAAAAAUACUUAUAAUGCGAUUAAAACGCUGCUUUGAACUUGUCCUCGUUUUGUUUGCAGAGUCAUUGUUCUGCUUUGACACGCGGCUGUGAAUGUUUUUUUCCGUCAGGUUUCAUUACAAAGGUGGAAAAACAUGAAAGCCCCCCGAUAAAAAACGACAAAAUGUGGGAACCGCUGACGGGGAGGAAUAGCAACAUUGAAACAUUGAUGAAUAGCUUGGGGGUUGAAUGAAUGAGUGGGUUGAAAUCAAAUUAAAUUCAUUCCUUUCUGUUGUUAGAUCAUAUGGCAAUCUUUCCGAUACCGUAAUAUAAAUGUGAAAAAAAUAUAUCUUUUUUGUUUUGAUACUAUGCUAAAUCUCAGAGGAAUGUUUGAUGACUUUAUGGCUUUCUGAGCUAGCAUGACUCAGCCUGUUGGUCUGUUAUCUACCAUGCCCUUGAAAUCCCUACAGUGGAUAAAUAUUACAGCUUAACUUUUGUGUACCAAAUAGUAAUAGCGUGACCUUUAUUUUUUCACACCUAUGCACAUCAAGAUUGUAAGUAGCAGCAGGAGUCAAGACAUUAAUACUUAUAGUCAAACUAUGUUGGAGUGCACUGAAUACCUUCAAGUCAGUAUAAAAGUAUGAACAUUUUGCUUGAUCAUUAGCAAUACAGUUCAAUGGCAAUAAUUAGUCUUGUCUUAUUAGAUAAACAAAAACAAAAGGAUUUAAAACCUUUUUUACUCGUAUUACCCAUUUAAAUUGUCUCUUAAAGAGUCCACCUCAUCAUUAAUAAAUCUGUGAAGAUGUCUGUAUGUCUACAGCAAUGUCUAGGUGCCCAGUUAUUUACUGACUUGCCCAAGGGCACUUGAGUAGUUUUCUGAGAAAGCUUCUUCAGACUUUACAAUAUUUUACACUUUCUUUCAAUGAUUAAAUAUAUAUUUUAAUGACUAAGAGAAUACAUGAAUGUUUAACAUAAUUUAUUAACAUGACAAAACAUCUUGCACUCCGUAUUCACCAAAUGGCAGUUGAGCUGACUCAUCCUAUAACUUUAUACCUCCGUCUUGAACUCAAAACUCUUUCCCUCAGUUUUGAACAUCACAAUACAAUGUUGAGCUACUUAUUAUAAACUAUUUUGGGACACAGUACUUAUUUAACACUUUAUUAAAUCCUGAUGAGGACUUGACUAAUGUAGUCUUGCUGAGCAGCACUAAAACUGGUAUAUCUGCCCGUUUUUCAGAACAUAUUCAAAUUUAAUUCAUGAAUAUUUCAUUUGCAGAUCCAAAGCGCGACUUAGCCUCAUUCCCUGGCUCUGUGGUUGUGUUGGCAAAAAAAAUGACAGCAGAAGAACACAACCAGCAAGGUUAUGUAUAACAACAGUUGUGUUGUAAUAUUGUGCUACAAUGUUGCUCUCUAAUCCCAGACCAAUACCGUUGGUUUAGUUCAAGGUUGUCAUGGUUACAGUGUAUAUAUCGAGUCUAUCCAAUUAAAUUCUAGUGCGUCCCUGCCUAUUGGUAGGACCUUGCUGUGGUAUUUAAUCUGAACUUUGGUUCUCUCUCUUCUCAGGAGUUUUGACCGGAUGUGCUUACGCCUCGGUCUGAGCUCCGAACGGGCCUGAAGGCUGAG
ensembl:lncRNA